UACGAAGGGGGGCUAGCGUUGCUCGGAAUCACUGGGCGUAAAGGGUGCGUAGGUGGCGCCGUAAGUCAGGUGUGAAAUUUCGGAGCUUAACUCCGAAACUGCAUUUGAUACUGCGGUGCUUGAGGACUGGAGAGGAGACUGGAAUUCACGGUGUAGCAGUGAAAUGCGUAGAUAUCGUGAGGAAGACCAGUGGCGAAGGCGGGUCUCUGGACAGUUCCUGACACUGAGGCACGAAGGCCAGGGGGAGCAAAACGGGG
rnacentral:rRNA from 1 species